rnacentral:tRNA from 1 species
CGAUGCCUAGCUCAGUGGUAGAGCUCCUGUAUAUGGUGAGCGAAAGCGCCUAGCAAUAACUGUCAGGAGGUCGCAGGUUCGAAUCCUGCCCGGUGGCUA